AGAGAAGGGAUAGUGUGUAUCGGUGUUGUGCUAUCAUCAAUGCAUUCUUCCGAAAGUGUUCUUUGCGAUAUCAAUUUGAGAGAAUGGGCAGUUGCACUUCAUCUAUUAUGGUUGAAAACCACAACAAUCAUUUUCUCUACAUCU